UACGAAGGGGGCUAGCGUUGUUCGGAAUUACUGGGCGUAAAGGGCGCGUAGGCGGUGUGUCAAGUCAGGCGUGAAAGCCCCGGGCUCAACCUGGGAACCGCGCUUGAGACUGGCACGCUAAAGUUCGGGAGAGGAUGGUGGAAUUCCCAGUGUAGAGGUGAAAUUCGUAGAUAUUGGGAAGAACACCGAUGGCGAAGGCAGCCAUCUGGACCGACACUGACGCUGAGGCGCGAAAGCGUGGGGAGCAAACAGG
rnacentral:rRNA from 1 species